AGUCAACAUGCCCAGGGGACGUGGAUAACCUCGGGAAACUGAGGAUAAACCGCGAUAGGUCAUAGUAUCUGGAAUGAUUUAUGGCUUAAAUCUAUAUGGCCCCUGGAUUGGACUGCGGCCGAUCAGGCUGUUGGUGAGGUAAUGGCCCACCAAACCUAAAACCGGUACGGGCUCUGAGAGGAGAAGCCCGGAGAUGGGCACUGAGACAAGGGCCCAGGCCCUAUGGGGCGCAGCAGGCGCGAAAACUCUGCAAUAAGCGAAAGCUUGACAGGGUUAUUCUGAGUGAUUUCCGCUAAGGAAAUCUUUUGGCACCUCUAAAAAUGGUGCAGAAUAAGGGGUGGGCAAGCCUGGUGUCAGCCGCCGCGGUAAUACCAGCACCCCGAGUGGUCGGGACGAUUAUUGGGCCUAAAGCAUCCGUAGCCGGUUCUACAAGUCUUCCGUUAAAUCCACCUGCUCAACAGUUGGGCUGCGGAGGAUACUAUAGAGCUAGGAGGCGGGAGAGGCAAGCGGUACUCAGUGGGUAGGGGUAAAAUCCGUUGAUCCAUUGAAGACCACCAGUGGCGAAGGCGGCUUGCCAGAACGCACUCGACGGUGAGGGAUGAAAGCUGGGGGAGCAAACCGGAUUAGAUACCCGGGUAGUCCCAGCUGUAAACGAUGCAGACUCGGUGAUGAAUAGGCUUCGUGCCUAUUCAGUGCCGCAGGGAAGCCGUUAAGUCUGCCGCCUGGGGAGUACGGUCGCAAGACUGAAACUUAA
rnacentral:rRNA from 1 species